GCUGGGGUACCGAAGUGGUCAAACGGGACAGACUGUAAAUCUGUUGGCUAUCGCCUUCGAAGGUUCGAGUCCUUCCCCCAGCACUA
rnacentral:tRNA from 1 species